rnacentral:rRNA from 1 species
GACGAACGCUGGCGGUGUGCCUCACACAUGCAAGUCGAGCGGACGAAGAUUGAAGCUUGCUUCAGUCCAAGUUAGCGGCGGACGGGUGAGUAACACGUAGGAAUCUGCCUUCAGGCGGGGGGACAACGGAACGAAAGUUGCGCUAAUACCCCAUAUGCGAGUAAUCGUAAAAGGAGCAAUCCACCGGAAGAUGAGCCUGCGUCCGAUUAGCUAGUUGGUAGGGUAAGAGCCUACCAAGGCUACGAUCGGUAGUUGGUCUGAGAGGAUGAUCAGCCACAAUGGAACUGAGACACGGUCCAUACUCCUACGGGAGGCAGCAGUGGGGAAUUUUACGCAAUGGGCGAAAGCCUGACGUAGCGACACCGCGUGAGCGAAGAAGCCUUUUGGGGUGUAAAGCUCUGUCAGCUGGAACGAACACAAUGACGGUACCAGCAGAGGAAGCAUCGGCUAACUACGUGCCAGCAGCCGCGGUAAU